rnacentral:ncRNA from 1 species
UAUAAACCGUUGAUGCGGAGAUAACGUUGGAAAAUGCCCUUACAGAGAGCGAGGUAAGCUGAGAGCCUUGCAGAACGCAAUCCUUCAAAUGGACCGCUGAGGGCAUGGUCAAAGGCUUAGGCCGAGUAUUCCAUGACGUGACAACUACGUCAGUGUUGAGGAAUAUGUUGGUAUUCUGCAGAGGCAGGUUUGAUCCUGCGAAAAAAGGUGGCACCACGAGUCGUUAUACUCGUCCUUUAC